GGAUCCAGUAGUUGGGUCAUGUGACUGGUCAGGAUCCAGUAGUUGGGUCAUGUGACUGGUCAGGAUCCAGUAGUUGGGUCAUGUGACGGUCAGGAUCCAGUAAUUGGGUCAUGUGACGGGUCAGGAUCCAGUAGUCGGGUCAUGUGACGGUCAGGAUCCAGUAGUUGGGUCAUGUGAUGGGUCAGGAUCCAGUAGUUGGGUCAUGUGACGGGUCAGGAUCCAGUAGUUGGGUCAGGAUCCAGUAGUUGGGUCAUGUGACGGGUCAGGAUCCAGUAGUUGGGUCAUGUGACGGGUCAGGAUCCAGUAGUUGGGUCAUGUGACGGUUCAGGAUCCAGUAGUUGGGUCAGGUGACGGGUCAGGAUCCAGUAGUUGGGUCAUGUGACGGGUCAGGAUCCAGUAGUUGGGUCAUGUGACGGGUCAGGAUCCAGUAGUUGGGUCAUGUGACGGGUCAGGAUCCAGUAGUUGGGUUAUGUGACGGGUCAGGAUCCAGUAGUUGGGUCAUGUGACGGGUCAGGAUCCAGUAGUUGGGUCAUGUGACGGUCAGGAUCCAGUAGUUGGGUCAUGUGACGGGUCAGGAUCCAGUAGUUGGAUCAUGUGACGGGUCAGGAUCCAGUAGUUGGGUCAUGUGACGGUCAGGAUCCAGCAGGUGGAGCUCAGGGCGGGUUCUCUCCGCUGAGCGGCGCUCCGAUACGUCUGAAUGUUUCCUGCUGAGUCGGCGUGGAAAGAGCAGCUGACUGCAGCUCGUUUGCUGAGGAGCUGCAGCCGGAUAACUCCCCCGCACCGUUUGU